rnacentral:sRNA from 1 species
GGAUGGGAGGGCGAUCUGUCCGUGACACCUGUUACCCCAUUGAUCGCCAGGGUUGAUUCAAUCCUCUGGCUGGCUGGGCUGGUGUCCCCUUCCUCCCUCACUGAUCCAUGUGCAUCCCUCCUGAAGCUGUGCACUUGGCCACAGGGGAAACCUUCCCUGAAUAGAGGAGGACCGGUCUUAGGUCAAGGGUAUAUGAGUAGCUGCACUCCUCUGCUAGAACCUCCAGAAAAGUUCUCAAAAUAGUGAAGUUUUACAACUGGUCACAAGGAACUUGGGGCUCCAAAACACAGCAGCUGUCAGUGACUAGGAAACAGUCUAUCUGGACAGGUCCGUACCG